rnacentral:rRNA from 1 species
UACGUAGGGGGCAAGCGUUAUCCGGAUUCACUGGGUGUAAAGGGAGCGUAGACGGCCAUGCAAGCCUGGAGUGAAAGCCCGGGGCCCAACCCCGGGACUGCUCUGGGAACUGUGCGGCUGGAGUGCGGGAGGGGCAGGCGGAAUUCCUGGUGUAGCGGUGAAAUGCGUAGAUAUCAGGAGGAACACCGGCGGCGAAGGCGGCCUGCUGGACCGCGACUGACGUUGAGGCUCGAAAGCGUGGGGAGCAAACAGG